rnacentral:rRNA from 1 species
UGGGGAAUAUUGCACAAUGGGCGCAAGCCUGAUGCAGCCAUGCCGCGUGUAUGAAGAAGGCCUUCGGGUUGUAAAGUACUUUCAGCGGGGAGGAAGGGAGUAAAGUUAAUACCUUUGCUCAUUGACGUUACCCGCAGAAGAAGCACCGGCUAACUCCGUGCCAGCAGCCGCGGUAAUACGGAGGGUGCAAGCGUUAAUCGGAAUUACUGGGCGUAAAGCGCACGCAGGCGGUUUGUUAAGUCAGAUGUGAAAUCCCCGGGCUCAACCUGGGAACUGCAUCUGAUACUGGCAAGCUUGAGUCUCGUAGAGGGGGGUAGAAUUCCAGGUGUAGCGGUGAAAUGAGUAGAGAUCUGGAGGAAUACCGGUGGCGAAGGCGGCCCCCUGGACAAAGACUGACGCUAAGGUGCGAAAGCGUGGGGAGCAAACAGG